UGCACAGAGAAAGUUGUGAUGAACGCCCAAGAACUAGCUGCUGCUCUGGAUGGGACUACAAGAGUCCCAAUUUGGGACGCCGGUCAUAUGGCUGACCAGGCCGCUUCCUUAUUUAGAAGGAAGGUGUAAAAACAGGCCACUUGUCACCGGAGAGCAAUGGCACUCACGCUACCAUCUGACACUAUUCCCCCGUUGCCUUUUGGAGGAAGUUUAUACAGGUUACGGAAGCUUAAGUUCUUGUCCCGUCAUCCCCCCACACCUUCCCCCCACCCUACCACCACCCCCGCAAUGAAAACAUAAGGUGUGCAGCUGGGUUGAGAUCUAGUAGCUGUGAAGGCCAGAG
ensembl:lncRNA